CCUACGGGUGGGCAGCAGUGAGGAACAUUGGUCAAUGGGCGCGAGCCUGAACCAGCCAAGUAGCGUGAAGGAUGACUGCCCUACGGGUUGUAAACUUCUUUUAUAGAGGAAUAAAGUGAGUCACGUGUGCCUUUUUGUCUGUACUUUAUGAAUAAGGAUCGGCUAACUCCGUGCCAGCAGCCGCGGUAAUACGGAGGGUCCGAGCGUUAUCCGGAUUUAUUGGGUUUAAAGGGAGCGUAGAUGGGUUGUUAAGUCUGUGGUGAAAGUUUGGGGCUCAACCGUAAAAUUGCAAGUGAUACUGGAAGUCUUGAGUACAGUUGAGGUAGGCGGAAUUCGUGGUGUAGCGGUGAAAUGCUUAGAUAUCACGAAGAACUCCGAUUGCGAAGGCAGCUUACUAAACUGCAACUGACAUUGAUGCUCGAAAGUGUGGGUAUCAAACAGGAUUAGAUACCCCUGUAGUC
rnacentral:rRNA from 1 species